rnacentral:lncRNA from 1 species
GCCUCCGCCCGACCGCCUUCGUUGCAUCUCCGCCCGACCGGCCUCACCGCAUCUCCAUCCGACCGAAGCUCUCUUGGCCGCCUCCGACUUCGGUGCUCUAUUCCGAACUCCACCGCGAUCCCCUCCACCAAGCUCCUGGCCACCACCACAUGGGCAUAGUGGAUCACAGCUGUGCCAUCCAGUGGGUGCUAGUUGUUGGAGCAGGAGCAGGGGA